rnacentral:rRNA from 1 species
GACGAACGCUGGCGGCGUGCUUAACACAUGCAAGUCGAACGGAAAGGCCCUGCUUUUGUGGGGUGCUCGAGUGGCGAACGGGUGAGUAACACGUGAGUAACCUGCCCUUUACUUUGGGAUAACUUCAGGAAACUGGGGCUAAUACCGGAUAGGAGCUCCUGCUGCAUGGUGGGGGUUGGAAAGUUUCGUCGGUUGGGGAUGGACUCGCGGCUUAUCAGCUUGUUGGUGGGGUAGUGGCUUACCAAGGCUUUGACGGGUAGCCGGCCUGAGAGGGUGACCGGCGACAUUGGGACUGAGAUACGGCCCAGAGUCCUACGGGAGGCAGCAGUGGGGAAUAUUGCAGAAUGGGCGGAAGCCUGAUGCAGGAACGCCGCGUGCGGGAUGACGGCCUUCGGGUUGUAAACCGAUUUCGCAUGUGACGAAGAGUGAGUGACGGUAAUGGGUAAAGAAGCACCGGCUAACUACGUG